AUGGAGGAGUCUCAGCCAGUACAUGGACAGAUCACCAUCCGUGUAGACGAGUCAGACUGCCUAUCGGCCGCCAGCUCCCACAUGGACAUGGAGACAGAGCGCUUCCUGUCCACAGGCACCCACGGUGGCCGCCGCGUCUCUUUCAAUGAGGUGGCACUCUUCGACCACGGCAAGAAGGCCCAGGAGAAAGGCCGUAGGUCAGACAGAUUCCUCCGCCAGACACCCACUCACUCCCCCGCAGUUGACUACUCUGAAUACACUCAUAUUCUACAAUAUAAUACAACGACGGCCUUAGCAACAAGCUGUUUGUAUGUUUAAAACCUGUGAAAAGAUUGGCUCUUACAUUAGAAGACAUUAUGGAGACACUUUGUAAGAGCCAUCUGUGUAAUACAUUAUAAAGGCAGUUGGAAGAGCUGUUAUAAUAAUAGGGACUGAUGUACUGAAAAUGCAUCAUACACACAUUAUUCAUAGAAAGGAUUUCCAAAAUGCAGACACUCGCAUAACAUUGUGCAGUGUAGCUUACUUUCAUAAUGUAUUAUGUAUGGUAUGGUAACAAAGCUCUGUAUGAUCCAAUGACUGAAUAUAUGAAUGGACAAAGCCAUCGAUCACAUGACACCAUUCAUUCCUAUGUGAAGCCUCAAUAGCGCAUUGAAACCAAAUGUCGUUUAUGAUGGCUUCUCAGGGAGACAUAAAAUCAGAGAGGAAGAGGUGAAGCGAGAGGUUUAAGCCCAAAAUCUGUCCACGAAAAUAAGCCCACGAAGUUUUGAUUUUUUUUAUGGAGGUCAAUGAGUGAGUGUCGAAUUUGGUCAACAAAAAAUGCAAUUGCUAAUUUGCAUGUAGAAGUUUCUUGUAGAAGUUUCGGAAUGGUUAGGUUGUUAAGAAUGCAACUUUGAAAAAAAACUUUUAAUAUUGGAGUUGUGCCUGUAGCAUGUAGCAUGGACAUUGCCAUUGAGGGCUUCCACCAUUUUAAAGUAGGCAACUGCGUGGGGAUUUCUAUGACUUGGGAGCAAUCAGCCAAUGAAAAAUAAGAAGGCCUAAAUGGCAUUGUCACAGAUGCUAUAAUGGUACAGUUACAAAGAUGACUCCUAUAUCUAUCUCUAUGGCCUGCUGUUCAUACGCAUAUUUACCCUCUCAAUGGUUAGAACGGUCUUACCUGAUCUUGCCCACUCCUGCUUGCCUUCCAUCUUUGAGGACAUGUAUUUCCAUUCUUAGAGCGGUCACAUGACUAUCUUGUCAAUAUAAUUGACAAUCUUUGAUAACGUGCAGUUUGAGCUACUCCAGGAAGUGACGUUGCAGGCUAGCACAGUGCUACCCCCUCUCAAUGAGUAAAUCAAGUUGAAGGGCGACUGGAGUACUACAGGCUGCCAUUAGCAAAUAAAUUAUCCUUAUUACUUCUUCUUUGUGCGAUUUUUGUUUUAAUUAAUUGGUUUAAGGACAUACACUACAUGACCAGAAGUAUGUGGACACCUGCUCGUU
rnacentral:lncRNA from 1 species